GCUGGGUGUUGUGGCUUGUGCCUGUAGUCCUGUCUACUCUGGAGGCUGGGGCUGGAGGAUUGAUUGAGCCCAGGAGUUCUGGGCUAUAGUGUAGUAUGCCUAUUGGUUGUCCGCACUAAGUUCAGCAUCAAUAUAGUAACCUGUGGGGAGAGGGUUAAGGGGGUGCCUGGUUGCCUAAGGAGAGGUGAACUGGCCCAGGUGGGAAAAAGAGGAAGUCAAAACUUCUGUGCUGAUCGGUUGUGGGAUUGUGUCUGUGAAGAGCCACUGCACUCCAGCCUGGGCAACAUAGUGAGACCCCAAAA
ensembl:misc_RNA Metazoa_SRP Metazoan signal recognition particle RNA